AACGAACGCUGGCGGCAUGCCUAACACAUGCAAGUCGAACGAGACCUUCGGGUCUAGUGGCGCACGGGUGCGUAACGCGUGGGAACCUGCCCUUAGGUUCGGAAUAACUCCCCGAAAGGGGUGCUAAUACCGGAUAAUGUCUUCGGACCAAAGAUUUAUCGCCUUUGGAUGGGCCCGCGUUGGAUUAGCUAGUUGGUAGGGUAAAAGCCUACCAAGGCGACGAUCCAUAGCUGGUCUGAGAGGAUGAUCAGCCACACUGGGACUGAGACACGGCCCAGACUCCUACGGGAGGCAGCAGUGGGGAAUAUUGGACAAUGGGCGGAAGCCUGAUCCAGCAAUGCCGCGUGAGUGAUGAAGGCCUUAGGGUUGUAAAGCUCUUUUACCCGGGAUGAUAAUGACAGUACCGGGAGAAUAAGCUCCGGCCAACUCCGUG
rnacentral:rRNA from 1 species